rnacentral:misc_RNA from 1 species
GGCCGAACCACCUCCAACUUGUUCUCAACGUCUGCGUUACAUUUUUCCUGACUCCAGGCCAUUUUCCUUGGAAACCCAAUUUCCAAUCUCUUCUUCGGGCUCAACAGCGGCACAAAUCCAAUAUUUGGAACGCCUCAGAGAGAGAGGAAAGAGCAGCAAGAAGUGGCAAUUUUUCGGCAAUUCUUGCGGCACAAUUUGUUACUCUGCUGCCACUGAUUCUUCUGUAGAGGAGCUCUGAAGCAGGCGUCCAUAAUCU